ACCGAAACAACGUGGUACUGGUUGAAGAAAAAUUUCACACAUCAAAAUCAGCUGUGAAUAUCAGUAUGGCCGCUCAUCUAGCAAAAAAAUAAAAUUUGAUUUUUAUUUUAUUUUAUUUUCAAAACUUGCGCAAAAAAUAGGAAAGUACAGCAAAAGUGUUUGCAUUUUAGUUGUGUUUUAUUUAACUAGUGUCGGUGUUGAUGUUGACUAAAAGUGUUGCGUCAUGACAGAAUAGCCUCUCACUGACAAACAAAUACAAUAAAAAAUUGUAUCCACGGAUUACGGCAAACUUGUAGCAUUUCCAUUACAUUCGUGUUUCGUUUUGGCUUGUUUAACGCGGGCUGAUGUGAAUCGUGCACGUAGAAUUUGAAAACGCAAGAUCAUGACUAGCAUUCGUCUAAGUUUCAUUUCUGUGGGCAGAAUCGCGGUGAGGAGAAAUUCGCAGUUGACAUCGGGUCCUGCGCAAACAUGCCGCGGCCUGCGGCGGUCCGGCGCGCGCGCACUCAGCACGAGCACGGCGCUAUGCAAGAGCCCCACGGAGCAGCCGCCCGGCCCUCCGCACUCGGGGAAAGAUGCGUCUAGCACAGGCUCUUCAGGAGGCAAAAAGUCGGGCAGUGGUGUGCUAACGUGCCCUAAAUGCGGCGACCCGUGCACACACGUCGAGACGUUCGUCAGCUCGACGCGGUUCGUCAAGUGCGACAAGUGCCACCACUUCUUCGUGGUGCUCAGCGAGGUGGACACCAAGAAGAGCAUCAAGGACAACGCUGAGAACAAGUCCGGGUUCUAUAGAAAACCGCCGCCCCCGCCCAAGAAGAUAUUCGAAUACCUCAACAAGCACGUGGUGGGGCAGGAGUUCGCAAAGAAGGUGCUCUCUGUAGCCGUGUACAAUCACUACAAGAGGAUCUACAACAAUGUCACUAGCAACUCGGCGACCGACACGCACCAUCCACUGCAUCAGGCGCAUAAAGACCUCCUCCACCUCAGCCAGACCACAGGAAGCGGUACCCCCAGCGGUGAGAUACUCGAGCGGCACAGCAACGAGCUGCGGCUGGAAAAGAGCAACGUGCUGUUAUUGGGACCUACGGGGAGUGGUAAAACGCUACUAGCACAAACGAUAGCAGCAUGCCUGGACGUGCCGUUCGCGAUCUGCGACUGCACCACACUGACGCAGGCGGGCUACGUGGGUGAGGACAUUGAGAGCGUCAUCGCUAAGCUGCUGCAAGAUGCUAACUUCAAUGUGGAACGCGCGCAAACGGGGAUAGUGUUUUUGGAUGAAGUGGACAAAAUAGGUGCAGUGCCCGGUAUACAUCAGCUCAGAGAUGUUGGAGGCGAGGGCGUGCAGCAGGGCAUGCUGAAGAUGCUGGAGGGCUGCGUGGUGUCGGUGCCCGAGCGCAACUCGCGCAAGCUGCGCGGCGACGCCGUGCAAGUGGACACCACGGACAUCCUGUUCGUGGCCAGCGGCGCGUACAACGGGCUCGACCGCCUCGUGCGGCGCCGCUCCAACGAGCGCUGUCUGGGCUUCGGCGCGUGGGACCCGCGGGCGGGCCGGCGGGCCGCCGCGGCGGUCGCGGCCGCCGACAGGUCGCCGCUCGACCGGCCCGCCGGCGAGGGCAAGGAGGCCGACCGCUGGCUGCGCCGCGUGCAGGCGAGGGACCUCAUCGACUUCGGCAUGAUCCCGGAAUUCGUCGGCAGAUUUCCAGUACUAGUGCCCUUCCACAGCCUCGACCAAGAUCUCCUCGUUAGGAUACUCACUGAGCCUAAAAACGCUAUUGUAGCGCAGUACAAGCUGCUGUUCGCGAUGGACAAGUGCGAGCUGACGUUCAGCGAGGAGGCGCUGCGGGCGGUGGCCGCGCUCGCCAUGGAGCGCAACACCGGCGCACGGGGGCUCAGGGCCAUCAUGGAGAACCUGCUACUGGAGGUGAUGUUCGAGAUCCCCGGGUCGGACAUAGCGUCGGUGCACAUCCACGAGGGCUGCGUGCGGCGCAGCGAGCCGCCGCGCACCGCGCGCCGCGACCAGCCCGCCCUGCGGCACUGGCCCCCGGUGCGCGCCGCCAACUGAGACAUGCGACACGGCAUUUUUUACUCGCACACAAGACGGCUUCAAUAUGUGACGGAAUUCCAAGCGGACCCCGAACCAUCUGUAAAUCAAUAUGCGCUGUGAGCGGACACGCGCGUGGCGGCUGACGGACAGACAAACGAACGAACAAGCUCCGGCAAGACUUGCCAUAGACAAGUGUCAGCCCGCGACCAUAGACACACCGUGUUCCAUAGCUAUGUUAUCUAUGCCCGCUUUUUUAACGAAAUUUAAAUGUUUUCGAAAUUCGCAGUUUGGAUUUUAGUUUGCACACAUUGUUUUCACUAAUAAAGCAUAAAACGUCAUUCCUCUCUUGCCUGAACGAUGUAGGAUUGUAACAAUUUUGACAAAUGAUAGGUAAUUAGCUCAAUUGGUGUUAUUUGUGAAAAUUAAAAAGUAAUGUACUGGCGUUUCAAGACCUACAUUUAUAACUAUAAUAAUGUUGUAAAAGAUAAGAGAGAUAACAAAAAAAAAAACGAAAAAUUUACGGAUGAUCUUAACAGUAGUUCCUUGUGGUUUAUAAAAAUUGAAAAAUAAUUUAAAACGUUGUACGGCCGCCGUGCAACAUAGUUCUUGUGAUGUAAAUUACUGUAAAUAUUAAAUAGAAAGAGUAUAUUUAAGGUUUAAUAGUUUAGGCAUUUUUUUUAAUCUACAUUGUAAGUAACGAUAAUAUGAUUAUUCGGUUGACAAACUGGCAAUGUGUUGCCAUUCAAAGUAUUCGUUCGGAAACCCAAAAUAUUUUGACAUUUUGUUUUUGUUAUACAUAGAUUUUUUUUUUUAUUUAACACGAAAGUGAUGUGAUUAUAGCUAGGGUUUAAAUUUAAAUUUUAUGGAAUUUUAGAAACGUUUUGAACGAAUUGUAUAAUCACAUUACAAAUAGAUGAAUAGAAUAAGCUUAUUUUCAAAUAAAACCAUGAAAAAAACUA